AUUGAACGCUGGCGGCAGGCCUAACACAUGCAAGUCGAACGGUAACAGGAAACAGCUUGCUGUUUCGCUGACGAGUGGCGGACGGGUGAGUAAUGUCUGGGAAACUGCCUGAUGGAGGGGGAUAACUACUGGAAACGGUAGCUAAUACCGCAUAACGUCGCAAGACCAAAGAGGGGGACCCUCGGGCCUCUUGCCAUCGGAUGUGCCCAGAUGGGAUUAGCUUGUUGGUGGGGUAACGGCUCACCAAGGCGACGAUCCCUAGCUGGUCUGAGAGGAUAACCAGCCACACUGGAACUGAGACACGGUCCAGACUCCUACGGGAGGCAGCAGUGGGGAAUAUUGCACAAUGGGCGCAAGCCUGAUGCAGCCAUGCCGCGUGUAUGAAGAAGGCCUUCGGGUUGUAAAGUACUUUCAGCGGGGAGGAAGGGAGUAAAGUUAAUACCUUUGCUCAUUGACGUUACCCGCAGAAGAAGCACCGGCUAACUCCGUG
rnacentral:rRNA from 1 species